UCAGUUUCAGGCCGGAUAAAUUCGAUUCUACUCUCUCUCUCUCCAUAAGAAAUGGAAGAAACGCCAAAAUGUUGGAAGGAAAACAAAUAGCUACUUUCGCAACAAUGACCGGCUAGCUAACGCAUUCUCUCUCUCUCUCUCUCUCUCUCAACUUUGGUUCCCUCGCUUCAGCGAAAGUGAUCAGUCAGACAUUCUUUGCUUUCUCUCUCCAGCUGGUAAUGGUGGUUGUGAGAGAGAAAGUGCAUUAAGAGAGAGAGAAAGCAAUUAGUUAUCAGCAACACCAACAACAAGGAGAGGAGAGAAUCUAGAGAGAGAGAGAGAGAGAGAGAGAGAGAGAGAGAGAAAUGUUCAGGCUACACAAGAACAGGCCUGCUAAAUCAGGGGAGAGGGUGGAUUUCAAGUUCUCCCACUUUAAGGCCCUCCAGGUUCCCAGAGGGUGGGACAAGCUGUUUGUAUCAAUUGUGUCUGUAGAAACUGGGAAACCAAUUGCUAAAUCAAGCAAGGCAGUGGUGCGCAACGGAAACUGUCAGUGGACUGAGACUCUUUGCGAAUCUAUAUGGAUUUCCCAAGACGAGUCUUCCAAGGAGAUGGAAGAUUAUUUCAUCAAGCUUGUCAUUUCCAUGGGUUCGACAAGAUCCGGCAUCCUUGGAGAGGUUUCAGUCAAUAUGUCAGAUUACAUAAGUUCAACCUCUUCUGCUCCAGUUUCUCUUCCAUUGAAAAAGUGCAGUUUUGGGACAAUUUUACAGGUAAAAAUUAACUGCCUGACACCAAGAAAAAAGCUCAGUGAUGAAGAGUCAAAAGAGACGAGCUAUCAUUCAGAAGAAGUAAUUGAACAUGGUCAUGAUGCGGACAGCAAGUCAGAUGGAUCUAAUAGCUCCGUUGUAUGGAGUGCUGGAUCUUCCUCCAGAAAAGAUUUUGGCUUGAUCUCAAAUCCCGGAGAGCCUGGGAGUCGAGAUAGUAGUUUCUCCGCACCAGGUUCACAUCGCAGCUAUGACUCAGCAGAGGGCUCCAUAAGAAGGGAUAAUAUGUCCGCAAGAAGCAACCUUAGUGUUGAAGGCAACCACCUGAUAGGAAGACAAGAUUCAACCACCUCCCUAAUUAGUACAACUCAUGGAAAUUUUCCUGCUGAUAUUCGUUCUCUGUCAAACCAUUCAUCAUUUAAUUCCAGGGUUAAUGGUUCAGGAAUUCAGACUCAGAAUUCCAGGAAAGAUUUUACAGAAUCUUCUUUAAGCACCACUGAUUCUUCUAAAAACCUUCUGGAUGCGGCAGAAGUUACGAUUGAAGAGUUACAUGCGGAAGCUAAGAUGUGGGAGAGGAACGCCAGGAAGCUAAUGCUUGAUUUGGAUAUACUGAGGGCAGAGUUCUCUGAUCAGUCCAAAAAGCAGGCAAAUAUUCAUGUGGAGCUUUCAGCAGCAUAUGCAGAACGCGAUGGCUUGAAGAAAGAAGUUGAACACUUGCAUUUGUUGCUUGAGAAUGCAAUGGUAAAACAAACAGCCAGUGAGGAUUUAACUUCUCAGGAUGGAGGAACGCCCGAGAUUAAGAAGGCAUUCCAAGAUGAACUGAACUUUCAAAAAGAAUCCACAGCCAAUUUGUCCCUGCAGUUGGAGAGAAGUCAAGAAUCAAAUAUUGAGCUGGUUUCAGUUCUCCAGGAGCUGGAAGAGACAAUUGAAAAACAAAAGGUGGAAUUGGAGAAUCUUUCAGAACUACAGUCGACAUUUGGUGAUAUGGAAAACUUGAUCAAUUUAACUACAGAGGAAAACAGAAAUUUAAAGCUUCAGCUGCAACAAUUGCAGGAAUCAGAGAACAAGUUGCAAGUCGUGGUGCAACAGCUGGAACAAACCGUGGAAGAGAAAAAUCAUGAGAUAGAGAAUGGAUCGAGUCUGAACGAACACUCCCUUUUGGAUAUUGAGACAGAAUACAAAAGUAAAUUGCUUUUGAAGGAACACGAAAUUGUUAAACUGAAAGAAAAGGUGUCCGAGUCUCUCAAAGAAAGGCAUUCUGCAGAAAUGGAUUCCAUCACCAUGAGUGGAAGUGAAGCAGAUCUGAUCAGUGAAAUUGAGGACUUGAAAGAAAAGGUGAACGAGCUAGAACGAGAUUGCAAUGAGCUGACGGAAGAAAACUUAGAGCUCUUAUGCAAGCUUAGGACAGCGAAGAAAAAAUCGUCAGGGGGAUACGCACCUGUUGAACUUCCAGCCAGUGAGCUUUUAGUCGAUUCUUUUACCAGCUUUGAGUCCAAAGUGACUGAAAAUAAACCCCAAUUACAGAAUGCAGAGGAGAAGCUUAACAAGAAAGUGCUUGGGGAGAUUACAAAUAAUAAUGAUGCUUCAGUUCAAGUACUUGACGGCUUGAAAAUGGAACUAGAAAGUAAAGUAAAAGAGCUGGGUAAAGAAUUGACGGAGAAGAUGUUUGAGAUAGAAAAGCUUGAGGUGAACUUACUAACCAAAGAAGAAGAAAUUGGUCUUCUAAGAGGGGUCCAAAAUGAAUUACAAGCUGAGGUUUCCAACCUUCAGAAGGAAAAAAUAGAGUUAGAGGAACAGAUGGAAGUUGUAUUAAGGGAAGGCGAUAUCAGCUCUAAGUGUUUGAAUGAUUUGCGGAAUGAAUUAAUGGUGCUUAGCAGAAGUGUGAAUUCCCAUGUUUCCACACAUAAGGUACUUGAAAGGAAAUCUUCGGAGCUAGAAGCUGAUAAAUGUGAACUGGACCUUCAUCUAUCAGAGUUUCAACAAGAAAACAUACAGUUGUCAGCACAUAUUUCUGCACUUGAAGCUCAACAAAGAUGCUUGACGGAUGAAAAAGAGGCCAAUCAGUUAGAAUUAGACAAUUCCCAAUCUUAUUCUCUGAGUCUCCAAGAUGAGAUUAGUAGAUUAAACAUUGAGAUGAUAUCUGAUAAAGUUGAACUGAAACAGAAAUUAAAGGACUUAGAGAGGCAGUGGUCAGAAGCUCGAGAAGAAUGUGAAUUUCUGAAAGGGGCAAACCCGAAGCUACAAGGUACUGCUGAGAGCCUCAUUGAGGAGUGCAAUUCUAUUCAGAAUUCAAAUGAUGAGUUGAGGAAGCAAAAGCUGGAGUUGCAUCAGCUCUGUUCCCUCCUGGAGGCAAAGUUGAAUCAAUCGCAGGAGAGCUUUACAAAUUGCUCCAAAAGAGUUGAAGUGCUGGAAAAAGAUCUUUCUUUAAUGCUGGAAAAUGUCACCUCAAAAGAGGAGAGCCUGAAUUCAGAAUUAGAUGCACUUCUUGAUGAAAACAUGAAAUAUAAGGAGAAACUUACAUUGGAAGAAAGUUUGUUCAACAAGAUGUAUUUGGAGAAGACGAUUGAAGUUGAGAGCCUUCAGGAAGAGGUAGAACGACUUACCAAGCAAUUUGCUGCUACUCAUGAAGAAAGAGAAGGACCAGCUUCAGAUGCUGUCCAGGAAGCAUCCAGACUACGAACUGAGAAGGAAAUGCUUCAAUCUACUCUCCUAGAGUUUCAAUCUAAAGCGAUACAGAUGGAGGAUGAAUUGAAUAUUAUGAGAACAGAAUCUGAAGCGAAGUUACAAGGCCUAUUCGCUGAGCUUGCUGAUAAACAAAAUCAGGAGUCAACAACAGCUGACCAUGAAAAGCUAUUGAAGUUGUUGGAGAAUUACAAAUCAAGUGAAGCAAAACCGAAGACCAAUGUGAAUGAUCUUGAACCAAAGCUUACAGUUUCUGAUUAUGAACGUCAACAGGUGGUGGAAGAAUCCACCAAUAUGAAGGUUGAAUUUGAGAAACUAACUCGUUGUCAGGAGGAAGUUUUGGCUUUCAAGAAUGAGCUGGAUGCAACCAAGUUCGAGAAAGAAAAAUUGGAAGCGUUAUUGGAUUCAAUAUCUGAGGAAUGUGAAGAUCUGAAGGCAGAGAAGAGUUCAUUCCAUGAGAAGAUAUCAACAUUGGAGAAGGCCUUAUUUGACUUGGAGGAUUGCCAACGUAAUAAAGUUCUUUUGGAGGAAAAAUUUCUGCAGAUGGAAGGUGAUCUAACUGCAAAAGAGGCUUUGUGUGCACAGUAUGCCGAGCUGAAGAAUGAGCUCAACCAGAUCAGGAGAGUCAACGAGCAGUAUCAGCUGGAAAUACAGCUACUUGAGGAUGAGAGAAGUGAGUUCCUAAGAAAGUCUCAAGCCCUUGAACAAGAAUUGAAAGUGACAAGGGAAGAAAAAAAGAAACACAGGGAUUGUAGCAGUCCAAUUUCCAGCUCAUCAAAGGGCGGCACCAGAGUUAUUCCUGUUGGUGAAGAUAUGAAGGUCCCAAAAAAUGAAAUGGUGAGGAACAGCAUUCACCGUCGUGAUUUUAGAAGGAAGCCAAUUUUGAAGAAUGGUCAGGUGCUUGGAAAUGCAACAGAUCAGAAUUAUCCGUAUAGAAACCAGCAUCAAAGAGAGGAUGAUAACGGAGUCGAAUUUCAUGAUGAAAGUCCAAAUGACGUUGAAGAACUUGGUUUAAAGAUUAAGUUGCUUGAAGAUGAACUUGUUAAGGCAUUGGAAGUAAAUAACACUUACAAAGUUCAACUUGAUAGGUGCUUGUCUGAGGCUCGACACAAUCAUGCAGAUGCUCAUCGAAAUUCAAAAGCUGAAGAAAGACACGAAUACUCAAGGUCAUCUCUAGAGACGGAACUGAAAGACAUUCGCGAGCGCUACUUGCACAUGAGCCUGAGAUACGCGGAGGUAGAAGCUCAGCGCGAAGAACUUGUGAUGAAACUCAAAGUAGCCAAGGGUGGCAAAAGGUGGUUUUGAUGAAUGACCAUGACAACUCCAUUGAUGCCGUUUUCUUGAGUCUUCCACUCUCAGGUGUUUUGCAAAAAGGAAACAUGAAAGAGCAAGAAUGAAAAAGGUGUCAUGCAUGGAUAUCAAAUGCGGAGGCAAGGGUGGUGCCAAUGGCAUAUCCUUUUGAAGAUGCUGAAUCUCCGUUUCUCACUUUUUUUUUCUACUUUUCCUUUAGCACUAAAAAGUCAUCACUCCCUUUCAUUGCCCUCAUGAUCUACCUAAAAUUCCUAUAUAACAACCAAUCUAACAUUUCUGAUCAAACCCUCUUUACUACAAUUCAUUGCAGUUCUAACCCAUCAUCUCAUUCCCGGCCACCCCCGCCACGAAUGGUAGCCAAAUGCUUGAACUGAAGGGCAUAGAGGGGGUGGCUUGGUCAGUUCGUAUUUUGCUUGUUGGAUUGGACGAUGAUGUUGGUUGUUUUAGUUAAUUUCUGUUAGCUUUUCAAGCUAGUGUGUGUUUUUAAUUACUUUCUCAUUAGCCUUGGUUUCAGCUUACAAGGCAGCAUAGGAGGAAUAAGAACGUUGAAACUGGUUGAAUCUACUUCUUGAAGGUUGGAAGAUUCUUUAAAAGGGCAACUUCAAUCCUUUGGCAUUUUGGCUUCUGCAGCGUCUUUCUUCGCCUUCGUGUGUGUUCGUUCUCCAGAAAACUUGUUAGUGUGUAAUAUUUAUCUGAGUUAUGCAAAGAUGGUGAUAAGAAAAGGAUUGUAGAAUGUA